GGUUCCAUAGUGCAGUGGUUAGCAUGUCUGCUUUAUACUCAGAAGUUCCUGGAUUUGUGCCCCAGUGGAGCCA
rfam:Pteropus alecto contig168291, whole genome shotgun sequence.